UUUAGCAUGACACCAUACUUUGAAUGCAAAUGGUCCAUUGAUUGAACUUCAAUAUCAGUAUUAAUCUUGUCCAACUCAUCGAUUACAUCUUGGAUGCCAGAUAUGAUCACAGCGCGCAUAUCCAUGCCACCGGUGACCCUACUGUCACCGACGGUUUUACUAUGUGUGGGAGACUCAAGAGUAGGACGACCUAAUAAAUUAAGCAUAGAAGAGUACAUCUGAACUGAAACAGGUUCGUGACUUUGAACCAAUUUUUCGUUAGAGGGAAUGUCUCUUUUUUGAGAAGGGCUAGAAGAGUUCGAUGAAGAAACGAUUAACUUCUCAUUUUCAUC